rnacentral:sRNA from 1 species
GCGUUCGCCGCCUGGGUUGUCACCGGCGCCGCCGCCGAGGAAGCCACUGCAACCAGGACCGGAGUGGAGGCGGCGCAGCAUGAAGCGGCGCAGGCCCGCUCCAUAGCGCACGUCGGGACGGUCCGGGCGGGGCCAGGGGGGAAGGAAAAUGCAACAUGGCAGCAGCAAUGGAAACAGAACAGCUGGGUGUUGAGAUAUUUGAAACUGCGGACUGUGAGGAGAAUAUUGAAUCACAGGAUCGGCCUAAAUUGGAGCCUUUUUAUGUUGAGCGGUAUUCCUGGAGUCAGCUUAAAAAGCUGCUUGCCGAUACCAGAAAAUAUCAUGGCUACAUGAUGGCUAAGGCACCACAUGAUUUCAUGUUUGUGAAGAGGAAUGAUCCAGAUGGGCCUCAUUCAGACAGAAUCUAUUACCUUGGUAACAAGUCAUUAAUUGAUCAUGAUCGUUUUUCAAAAUCGAAGAUGCCAGAAAUUGCUUCUUCCUAAAGCUAGCUUGAAAUGCCUUUCUUUAGAUGGUCUGAUUAGGAAAACAAACAAUAAAACCAUUAGUUUGUUCCCACUCAACA